GCCGAAGUGGCGGAACUGGUAGACGCGCUACGUUCAGGGCGUAGUGUCCGUACGGGUGUGGGGGUUCGAAUCCCCCCUUCGGCAC
rnacentral:tRNA from 2 species